ACCAGUAGCUGCUGCAUUUCCCACCCUAGUCUUAUACUCAAAUCAAUAAGUUUUCCCAGUUUUUUGGGGUAAAAUUAGGGGUCUCGACUUAUAUUCAGGUCGACUUAUACUCGAGUAUAUACGGUAUUUGAUAUGUGUGACCAGGGGAGGGCUGGCAGCCUUAGGCCUGGGGGGCAAAACCAGUCAAGUGGCCCGUCAUGCGUUCUUAAGGGGUUAAAGGUUAAUAAGUGUAUAGGGGAUCAGAAACAUUUAUGUCUCUUUAGAGAUGUCUUUUGACUGAAAGCAGC